CUACGGGACGCAGCAGUGAGGAAUAUUGCACAAUGGGGGGAACCCUGAUGCAGCAACGCCGCGUGGAGGAUGACGCAUUUCGGUGUGUAAACUCCUUUUAUAUGUCAAGAAAAUGACGGUAGCAUAUGAAUAAGCACCGGCUAACUCCGUGCCAGCAGCCGCGGUAAUACGGAGGGUGCAAGCGUUACUCGGAAUCACUGGGCGGAAAGGACGCGUAGGCGGGUUGGAAAGUCAGGUGUGAAAUCCUACAGCUUAACUGUAGAACUGCACUUGAAACUUCUAAUCUAGAGUGUGGGAGGGGGAGAUGGAAUUAGUGGUGUAGGGGUAAAAUCCGUAGAUAUCACUAGGAAUACCUAAAGCGAAGGCGAUCUCCUGGAACAUUACUGACGCUAAGGCGUGAAAGCGUGGGGAGCAAACAGGAUUAGAUACCCCGGUAGUC
rnacentral:rRNA from 1 species